rnacentral:misc_RNA from 1 species
UGUUGGCCGUGGGCAGCAACCCGUGGAUCGCUGAUAAGAUCGUCUAGUGGAUGGGGACCUAAAGACCCCCACUGGCUCUCUCUCUUCUGUCAGAGCGGCUUGGUAGGCCGCCAGAGUGGACCGCUCGAGCGUAAUGAAGACCUGUAAGCGGUCCGCUCUGGAGCCUUCAGGGUCCAUGUCCUUCACCCUUAGUUGGAGACUGUGGGUGCUUGGUGUGGUCCUGUGGGUGGCCCGCCAUGAAGCUCCGGUACUCAACCCUUUAGCCCUGUCCGUUGAUACUUGUGGACCUCGCAGGUACCACUCGAACGAAUCGGAUAUACAGGGAGUGCCUAGGGGAUGGACCAGCUUUGAACUGGGCAUCAACGGCAUCGGCUAGACACAGGACAGCAACCGGCGGAAGAUACUAACGCCUCGCCUCCUGUGGCUCUGUGAAAGCAGACACUGUUCGACCCACCUCAGUCACCGAGUACCUGGAUUAAGGGGAAAGGAGGGGGUUGAUUGCCGCGUCCCCGGCUGGCGUAAUGCGAGCCCCGCGGUAGGAGUAAUAGCGCAGUGGUUAGAAAAGUUGUGCGGGGCCAACGCGACGGAGCCAAAUACGAA